UCAGGAUGUUUCUAACUCCUGUCUCAUUCAUCACCACAUUGAAGACGCUUGGUCAGCCAGAGAGAGAUGGAGAGGGAGAUCUGGAGCCUUCAGUAAAUCCUGCAGCCAGUACUCAGGAUGUUCCUGACUCAAUAAACCUCCCAAUUGCUGGGUGUUUCAUUCAUCAUCUCAUUGAACGCAAUUAGUCAACCGGAUGACAGGGAGAUCUAGUUUCUUCAAUAAAUCCUGCAGCGAGGCACAACGGCGAUCCUGUGAGGGACCAGUGUGCAAUGGGAUGUUAUACAUCUCAGCUGAGGCUUGAGGCCUACCAUUACCUGGAAGUCACAAAGGGAGAGAACCUGAGAGAGAGCACCACAGAGCAGGAGAAUAUUAAUCAGCAGCGAGGAUCGAGGCCCACUGGGACUUGGAGUUGGAGAAACAGCA